rnacentral:rRNA from 1 species
UACGAAGGGGGCUAGCGUUGCUCGGAAUCACUGGGCGUAAAGGGUGCGUAGGCGGUCAGCACAAGUCAGUUGUGAAAUCUCCGGGCUUAACUCGGAAAGGUCAACUGAUACUGUGCGACUAGAGUGCAGAAGGGGCAACUGGAAUUCUCGGUGUAGCGGUGAAAUGCGUAGAUAUCGAGAGGAACACCUGCGGCGAAGGCGGGUUGCUGGGCUGACACUGACGCUGAUGCGCGAAAGCCAGGGGAGCGAACGGG